rnacentral:rRNA from 1 species
GACGGAGGAUGCAAGUGUUAUCCGGAAUUAUUGGGCGUAAAGAGCUCGUAGGCGGCCUGUUGCGUCCGCUGUGAAAGCCCGGGGCUUAACCCCGGGUCGGCAGUGGAUACGGGCAGGCUAGAGGUAGGUAGGGGAGAAUGGAAUUCCCGGUGUAGCGGUGAAAUGCGCAGAUAUCAGGAGGAACACCAAUAGCGAAGGCAGCUCGCUGGGACGUUACUGACACUGAGGCGCGAAAGCGUGGGGAGCGAACAGG